UAGAGUAACGCCAUGGUAAGGCGUAAGUCAUCGGUUCAAAUCCGAUAAAGGGCU
rnacentral:tRNA from 2 species